rnacentral:antisense_RNA from 1 species
UUACCUGCUUAGAAAAGAAAAGUUUGUCGUG